CUUGGUCAUUUAGAGGAGUAAAAGUCGUAACAAGGUUUCCGUAGGUGAACCUGCGGAAGGAUCAUUAUCGAAAUUAUUGGUGAGGGUUGUAGCUGGCCUUUCGAGGCAUGUGCACGCUCGAGCCCUUAAUCCACUUUACACCUGUGCACUUAAUGUAGGUCGCCCUUAAAAAAGGUGACCUAUGUCUUAUCAUCAACCCAUCGUAUGUCUCAUAGAAUGUAAUCGAUAUCCUCGCCCUGAAAAAGCGUUGAUAAACUUAUACAACUUUCAACAACGGAUCUCUUGGCUCUCGCAUCGAUGAAGAACGCAGCGAAAUGCGACAAGUAAUGUGAAUUGCAGAUUUUCAGUGAAUCAUCGAAUCUUUGAACGCACCUUGCGCUCCUUGGUAUUCCGAGGAGCAUGCCUGUUUGAGUGUCAUUAAAUUCUCAACUCCAAGGGUUUCACGACCUUUCGGAGAUUGGACUUGGAGGUGCUGGCCGCAUAUUGGUCGGCUCCUCUCAAUGCAUCAGCGGAAUUCAACCUUUGGCUUCCGGAUGUCAGUGUGAUAAUCAUGUUGCGCUGUCGUUUGAUCCCUCAGAGUCCGCUAUAUAAUGGUCUUCGAACUUAUACAUCGAUACUUCCGCACGCUCAUCAAGAGAGACCACGUAAUGACCUUAUACCUCAUCAAAAAGCGCAAGA
rnacentral:rRNA from 1 species